UCUACGGCUGGCCUAUAAACAUUAUAGUCUCUUUACUAAACCUUGUAUAUUUUUUUUACUAAAUGAAAUUAUUGUUAAAGUGUUAAGUAGGGAAAAGUGAUUAACAUUACUGAUAAGUGAUAACAGUAACAACACCGAACCCAACAUUAAUUCAGGACGACGUGUGUAAUAGUCGUUUUAAAUUCUUACAAACACUCAAAAUUUUCAUUUGCUAUGUUAUAUUUACAUGAUUUUAUGGUUUCGCCUUACCAAACUAGUUUAUGAGGGAUUUAAUGGGGUUCUUCGUAAAAUUGCUUACAAGCCUAUAUGCUGAGUUUCCAUUCUUGCGAUUGUGCUGAAAUGUGAUGUGACUUGUCGGGUAAACCCAAAAUCCGCAAAUAAAAGUUCUCUAAAAACCUCUAAAAUUUCGUAACUGCAAUAUAGCAUGGGCAUCGGAUUUUGAAAAUCGCUGAGGUCAGAAAUAAUAUGAAGAAAACUCAUAAAUAUGAAGAAAGUUACUGUAAAUAAUUUUAAAAUAUUUAUUUUUCUAUUCUCACCUAUUUUGAAAAUGUUAAUAAAAUAUUAAUGACUAUAAUAAAAGUACAAGAUGGCUAAAAUAAAGCGACCAAAAAGUGUUUUUUUCUGCGUUUUUUGUACGAAACUUAACUUAAAGUACGAGCUUAAAAAUUUGAAAUAAAAAAAAUUAAAUUACUUAAAUUUUUAAAGAACAAAGUGUUUCAAAUCACGCGCCCCAAAAAAAUUCCAAGUAAGAUAGGA